AUGGCGCAACUGCCGGGCAGUUUUCCGAGGCCCGAGGUGAACGACGCCCUGCACUUCGUGGGGCAGGUCAAAGAAAUCUUCGCGUCCGAUCUGGCCGUCUACGACGAGUUCCUCGGCCUCCUCGGCCGCUUCUACCGGGGCGAGGUCGCCGCCGACUCCCGGGCCGUCCUGGCCAGGCUGUUCGCGUUCCUCGACGGCCAUCCCGACCUUUCGCAAAGCCUCCGCGCCUUCUUGCGCCGCCCCUUCCAGCACGGAGCCGACGAGCCCGUCAUCCGCGAGGAGGAUCGUCCGCCCAAGCGGCCCAAGAGGGAGCGCCGCCACCCCCACCCCGUCGACGCGGACUGCGCCGAGGCCAUGCGGUUCCUCGAGCGGGUGAAGCGGGCGGACGCCGGGCUCUACGACAGGGUCCUCGCGCUGCUCUUCCACGUCGGGGCGGAGGUCAAGCUCGACGCCAAUCAGAUCUACGACAAGGCCCGGAGGAUUUUCGGGCCGGCGCACGGCGAUCUCCUCCGCGGUUUCAUGGCGUACCUUCCCACGGGACGUGACUUUCUGAGGCGACGCCCUCUCCCCAAGAAGGAGCCGCCAGAAGAGCGCCCUGCUCCGGCUCCGGCACCAAAGCGCAAGGCCCCCGCCGCCGCGAUCCCUGCCACCGACGCGGCUGGCAAGAAGAAACCCCGCGUCGACGAGCGCAAGACGACCAACCGACGCGCCUCCCCAACAACCGUCGACGCCCCCAAGAGCGGCGACAAGUUCUCCAAGUUUAGGGAGGCGUGGGAGUUCGAGACCGCGUACACCAAGCUCGUGGUCACCAUGAGACGCACCAAGAAAGCACUAGAAGAGCUCAAGCCAAAGCCAGAGAAGAAAUCGCCGGAAGAGGUCAAGCCGUCGUCGCCGUGCCACCGCAUGCGGCCGCGCACGUUCGAGGAGCUCUACCCCGGGCGUGAGUGCCGGGAGGUUCUCCGGGAGAUGUACGGCGACAGGUUGGGACCGAUGCGGGAGGCGCUCGAGGACGGCGCGCGCACCGAGCUGGCUCUGAGGACGAUCAAGCGCAGGCUGGAGAAGCUGGAGCAGGCGGCCGUGAAGAUGACGAGGGAGCGGCGGGAUCCCGCCCGCGUUGUGCGCCCGAUGUGCGAGCUUGUUGUAGAUCGGGUGGCGGUUCUUCGGGGUCGCGCGGAAGCGGAAAGUGCAGCGGCGCUCAAUCGUGAUGGCCCGUGCGAGAGCCCGGCCGGCAUGUCCGAGACCAAGAUUGCCGGUGAGCAGUGUGGCAUGAUUUAG
rnacentral:rRNA from 1 species